GUUCUCCUACGGGACGCAGCAGUGGGGGAUAUUGCACAAUGGGGGAAACCCUGAUGCAGCGACGCCGCGUGGGCGAAGAAGUAGUUCGGUAUGUAAAGCCCUAUCAGCAGGGAAGAAGAAAUGACGGUACCUGAGUAAGAAGCACCGGCUAAAUACGUGCCAGCAGCCGCGGUAAUACGUGUGGUGCAAGCGUUAUCCGGAUUUACUGGGUGUAAAGGGAGCGCAGGCGGCACGGCAAGCCUGAUGUGAAAGCCCGCGGCCCAACCGCGGGACUGCAUUGGGAACUACCGGGCUGGAGUGCCGGG
rnacentral:rRNA from 1 species